UGGUACAGCCGGGCAGCGAGGCUUCGGACGUCAUCAUUUCAGCUCCUCCCCCAAAUGACGCAAGCCUCGAUACGCGCAUCGCGGAAACGCCCCCUCCCCUACUCGGCACACGCUUCGAAGCCUCGAUACGGAACGUCACAUCACUACCAGAUGUAUCCAGGACUGUGUUACUCCUAACCGGGGGUAGUACCUUCGUUCAACAGUCUUAGCAAAUUGUUCCGCUUUUGUUAGUUUCCUUUUCGUCUGUGUCAUUUCUUGAAACGGGAAAACUGAAAUGCCACCACACAACAGCCCUAAAAGUCAAUGGUGGAACAUUUGCUAUGUUCUGUGGAUCUAACGUGUCUGGUGGCAUCAGGAGCAGUGAAGACUUUCUUCAAGAUCGGGAUCCACUGCUGGUGCUGUUAUGGCCAAAGAAGCCAGAGGGUGAACUACUGGAUAUUGAUGGCUUUCCACACUGGUUACAGGGUUUUGCUCCAUUCACUCACAAGAGCAUUUGCCACAUCAGUCACGGAGGUUGGAAGUGGUUGAUAAGGCCUAGAUCAUAGCUGGCGUUCUACUUUAUCUCAAAGGCCUCUCACUAAGCUGAUCCUGCAGGCUAAUUGGCCUGGGGUUAACCUGCACUAUUUACCAGCAGUCCUCUGGGAGCUGAGUGAACUGGUAGAGGGGAAGGGGCGCUGUGGCUCCCCUGCCAUCAAUGCCAACACGAGGCUGUCUCCUGCAGCGUCAGCCCAGUGUCCUCCUUCGUCUUCUUGUUCUUGGUGUUUUAUGGCAGUUGGCAAACAACAAAAAACUACUGGAGUGCGGCUCAGGAAGCCAACAUGUAGGGUCUGUUGAAGGCGUAUGGUUUUUAACCAACACCUGACUUUCACACAGACAACCAGAGAUCAUGUCCCGUGUCCGAUGUUGUACUUUUCAUUUGAGAGUGUUUUAACCUAAUCCAUGGGCUUUCCCUAACCCAUGGGCUUUCCCUAACCCUGCAAUGUCACAUUUGUGGAGGUGUUAUUGUGAGACUAGUGUGUUUUGUAUUGUGGACCAACAUUGCUAUUAAUCAUUUUUGUUUUGUCUGGGUUGCAGUGCAUUCUAAAGCAUAAUUGGGCCACAUAUUUCUGUACAAACCUGACCUAUGCCAGGGCUUGUGGCGUCUGGACCCCACAAGCUUAUAUUAUAUAAUAUCCGAACCUGACUUGAGCCCAUCACAGUUGAGUUUGUAUAUUGUUUUCCCCUUUAUCAUUAAAUGAAGCAGACAUUUGAGUGCCUCAGCCAUCUAGCCUAAUGUUUGACCUAUGUAUCUGAACAUAAUUUCUAAAUUUACAUCUGAAUCCAGCCCAAACCCUUGGGUACCGAUGGGUCCCAUCGGGCU